AGUGAGGAAGGUGGGUAUGUUAAUAGCAUACUCAUUUGACGUUAGCUGCAGAAGAAGCACCGGCUAACUCCGUGCCAGCAGCCGCGGUAAUACGGAGGGUGCGAGCGUUAAUCGGAAUUACUGGGCGUAAAGCGCAUGCAGGUGGUUUGUUAAGUCAGAUGUGAAAGCCCGGGGCUCAACCUCGGAAUUGCAUUUGAAACUGGCAAACUAGAGUACUGUAGAGGGGGUAGAAUUUCAGGUGUAGCGGUGAAAAUGCGUAGAGAUCUGAAGGAAUACCGGUGGCGAAGGCGGCCCCCUGGACAGAUACUGACACUCAGAUGCGAAAGCGUGGGGAGCAAACAGGAUUAGAACCCUCGGUAG
rnacentral:rRNA from 1 species